rnacentral:rRNA from 1 species
GAUUAAUAGGGACGGUCGGGGGCAUCAGUAUUCAGUCGUCAGAGGUGAAAUUCUUGGAUUGACUGAAGACUAACUACUGCGAAAGCAUUUGCCAAGGACGUUUUCAUUAAUCAAGAACGAAAGUUAGGGGAUCGAAGAUGAUCAGAUACCGUCGUAGUCUUAACCAUAAACUAUGCCGACUAGGGAUCGGGUGGUGCUACUUUGCCCACUCGGCACCUUACGAGAAAUCAAAGUUUUUGGGUUCUGGGGGGAGUAUGGUCGCAAGGCUGAAACUUAAAGGAAUUGACGGAAGGGCACCACCAGGAGUGGAGCCUGCGGCUUAAUUUGACUCAACACGGGGAAACUCACCAGGUCCAGACGUAAUAAGGAUUGACAAGUUAGAGACUUCUCUUGAUCUUACGGGUGGUGGUGCAUGGCCGUUUUUAGUCCUUGGAGUGAUUUGUCUGCUUAAUUGCGAUAACGGACGAGACCUUAACCUGCUAAAUAGGGCUGCGAGCAUCUGCUCGGGUGCUCUUCUUAGAGGGACUAUGGGUAUCAAACCCAUGGAAGUUUGAGGCAACAACAGGUCUGUGAUGCCCUUAGACGUUCUGGGCCGCACGCGCGCUAC